UCGGCGGAUCAGCCCGCUCCCGGUAAAACGGGACGGCCCGCCAGAGGACCCCUAAACUCUGUUUCUAUAUGUAACUUCUGAGUAAAACCAUAAAUAAAUCAAAACUUUCAACAACGGAUCUCUUGGUUCUGGCAUCGAUGAAGAACGCAGCAAAAUGCGAUAAGUAAUGUGAAUUGCAGAAUUCAGUGAAUCAUCGAAUCUUUGAACGCACAUUGCGCCCGCCAGUAUUCUGGCGGGCAUGCCUGUUCGAGCGUCAUUUCAACCCUCAAGCACAGCUUGGUGUUGGGACUCGCGUUAAUUCGCGUUCCCCAAAUUGAUUGGCGGUCACGUCGAGCUUCCAUAGCGUAGUAGUAAAACCCUCGUUACUGGUAAUCGUCGCGGCCACGCCGUUAAACCCCAACUUCUGAAUGUUGACCUCGGAUCAGGUAGGAAUACCCGCUGAACUUAAGCAUAUCAU
rnacentral:rRNA from 1 species